AGAAUCAACGCUGGCGGCGUGCCUAACACAUGCAAGUCGAACGAGAAAGUGGAGCAAUCCAUGAGUAAAGUGGCGACCGGGUGAGUAACACGUGACUAACCUACCUUCGAGUGGGGGAUAACCUCGGGAAACCGAGGCUAAUACCGCAUAAUACCUACGGGUCAAAGCAGACAAUGCGCUGAAUGAGGGGGUCGGCGGUCGAUUAGUUAGUUGGCAGGGUAAUGGCCUACCAAGACUGUGAUCGAUA
rnacentral:rRNA from 1 species